CUGAUGGAGCACGCCGCGUGAGUGAAGAAGGUUUUCGGAUCGUAAAACUCUGUUGUAAGGGAAGAACAAGUGCAGUAGUAACUGGCUGCACCUUGACGGUACCUUAUUAGAAAGCCACGGCUAACUACGUGCCAGCAGCCGCGGUAAUACGUAGGUGGCAAGCGUUGUCCGGAUUUAUUGGGCGUAAAGCGCGCGCAGGCGGUUUCUUAAGUCUGAUGUGAAAGCCCUCGGCUUAACCGAGGAGGGUCAUUGGAAACUGGGAGACUUGAGUGCAGAAGAGGAAAGUGGAAUUCCAAGUGUAGCGGUGAAAUGCGUAGAGAUUUGGAGGAACACCAGUGGCGAAGGCGACUUUCUGGUCUGUAACUGACGCUGAGGCGCGAAAGCGUGGGGAGCAAACAGGAUUAGAUACCCUGGUAGUCCACGCCGUAAACGAUGAGUGCUAAGUGUUAGGGGGUUUCCGCCCCUUAGUGCUGCAACUAACGCAUUAAGCACUCCGGCUGGGGAGUACAGUCACAAGACUGAAACUCAGAGGAAUGGACCCGGUCCCCUCACUUUGAAGUGGAACAUUUGCGAUUAAUUCCAACCCAGGGCGAAGGAGCUUACCGGGUCUUGACGUCCCAAUGACCGCUAUGGACC
rnacentral:rRNA from 1 species